rnacentral:rRNA from 1 species
GACGAACGCUGGCGGCGUGCUUAACACAUGCAAGUCGAACGCUGAAGCUCAGCUUUUGUUGGGUGGAUGAGUGGCGAACGGGUGAGUAACACGUGAGUAACCUGCCCCCUUCUUUGGGAUAACGCCCGGAAACGGGUGCUAAUACUGGAUAUUCACUGGUCUUCGCAUGGGGGUUGGUGGAAAGGGUUUUUCUGGUGGGGGAUGGGCUCGCGGCCUAUCAGCUUGUUGGUGGGGUGAUGGCCUACCAAGGCUUUGACGGGUAGCCGGCCUGAGAGGGUGACCGGUCACAUUGGGACUGAGAUACGGCCCAGACUCCGACGGGAGGCAGCAGUGGGGAAUAUUGCACAAUGGGCGCAAGCCUGAUGCAGCGACGCCGCGUGAGGGAUGGAGGCCGUCGGGUUGUGAACCUCCUUCGCUCAUGGUCAAGCCGCAACAAUGGUUGUGGUGAGGGUAGUGGGUAAAGAAGCGCCGGCUAACUACGUG